GCCGGAUUGCUCAGGAAAUUAUUCGUAAGUUGGUCAUGUCUGCUAGUGAGGGGUACUUGAAACUUGAUUUUCCAAUUUCAUAGCCAACCUAAGGAGGACCACCUCACCCGAUCCAUAAAAAUCAGGAUUCGGUGACCGGGAGGAAAGAGUGUGAGGCUCGAGCUUCGGCGAACUAUUUCAGAAAGCUUCUGCAUACGAGGC
rnacentral:misc_RNA from 1 species